UCGGUUUAGAGGCCAAUUCGUCUGACUCAAAGCCAAAUAGAGCAUAUUAUUGACAAUGAUGAGGAUUUUGAUGAGUGUAGUGAAGAUGGGGAUGAAGAUUAUAUAGUGGAACAAUUUGAAUCAGAAGGAUCUUCUUACGAAUAUUUAGAUUCUGAUAACGAUGAAGAUAUAGUACCUGCAUUGGAAAAUAAAAGCAGUGUUCCUUUGUAUUAUUGCAAGGAUAGAGCUAUUGAGUGGGCAAUGGGACCAGUUGGGCACAAUAGUGGCAGGGCCAGAAUAGAAAAUAUAAUCCACGGAAGACAGGGAGUUACUGCAUAUGGAGUACAUCGUAUUUCUACUGUCAAGGAAUCAUUCGAUCAAUGCUUUACGUACCAACUAAAGCAAAUUAUAAUACAAUUCAGCAAUAUAGAGGGCGAAAAAAAAUUGGAGCUGGAUAUAAAAACAUAGAUGAGAUAGAACUCGAUGCAUAUUUGGGUAUUUUAAGUUUAGCAGGAGUAUAUGGUUCACACGGAGAAAGUAUUCGAAGCCUCUGGGAUGAAGUGCACGACCGACCAUUAUUCCGUGCAACUAUGUCACUUGACAGGUUUCUUGAAAUUAAUCGUGUUUCGAGGUUCAAUGAGAGAGACAAUCGAAGGGCUCAAAGAAUGAAUGACAAGCUUGCUCCGAUUCGCGAUUUGUAUGAGAAGUGGGUGGCUAAUUUACCGCUACUUUUUGUUCCAUACGAUUCCGUUUAAUUCCUUUUAGGGGCAGAUGUCCCUUUUUAGUUUACAUGCCAAGUAAACCAAGCAAAUAUGAAAUGAAAGCAUGGGUAGCUGCGGAUGUGCGUACAAAAUUUUGCCUAAAUUUUCCAAAUGUAUUUAGGGAAGGAGUCAGCUUCCGCUCCACCGGAACGGAACCAAGGCCAGCGCGUUGUGUUGGAUCUCGUUAGUGGGUAUGAAGGGCGGAAUAUUACAAACGACAACUUUUUUACUACUCGGGAUUUGCCACUGGAGUUAAUGAAGAAAAGAACUACUUUGGUAGGCACCGUAAGGAGUAAUAAACGAUUUUUACCGGUUUGUGGUACUAAAGUGGAGUUAAGGAGUCUACCAGUGCUAAGCAGUCGACAUUUCUUUAAUGGAUCAGUUACCCUUGUGCAAUACAUACCCAAAACAUAUAAGAUGGUGACUGCUUUAAGUACCUUGCACCAUGAUAAAAGCGUUAUGGAAAACCAUCCAAAAAAGUUGCCAGAUAUCAUCAAUUUCUACAACUCUACAAAAUCUGGAGUGGAUAAUAUUGCUCAACUUGUAGAAACAUAUACAAGCAAGAGACAAACUAAUCGUUGGCCUAUAGCAAUUUUUGCAAACAUCGUAGAUAUCUCAGCGUUGAAUGCCUUUGUAUUAUGGACAGAAUUUUCCUCGAAAAUCUUGGCUUAGACCUUGUUCAUGGGGAAAUUGAACGCAGAAAAUCGCUACGAAGAACUCAACCGUCAGCAGAUAUUGUACGCAAUAUGAGAGCGGACGCAGAGCAACCAAGCAUUUCGGCAGGAACUGUUCCGAAAAAAAAGAAAACCUAGUCAGCGAGCCACCUGUGCAGUUUGCCCUAGCUCAAUUCGUCGCAAAACGUACGAAAGCUGCACUAAUGCACGAAUGCAACUAAUGAAUUUUAAAAACUUCUAUUAAAAUUAUAAACUUUUAUACUGAUAUCUAAACACAGGUAAGGUCAUUUCGUGACCCGAAUAUCACAUGUGUAAAUUUUUUUGAAUGUAACAGAAGGGCUAGGCAAUCGUCACCGGCCGCUGAUGUUGCCGUUGUGAAGCACCGCCAGUUCGGAGUUCUCAUAAAGAGAUCUGAUGAGGCUUAUCUUAGCGGUCUAACUGAUAAAAAUAUCAAUAAAGUAAAAGUAUCAGAGUACAUCAUGCAACCCUAACCUCAAGGAAGUGAGUGGAGAGCUCUCAGUGAACCAAGCCCAAACAAACCACGUCGUUUUCAGUCAAGAAACACAGCGGUAAUGUACAGUAUGAAAUUUUGACGGGAGGUUAUGAGACGUUUACGUGCAGUAAUUCGCCAAAAAGAAGGGAUUUGUGGGAAAGCAACUCGUGAAUUUUGCACCAUGAUAACACACCGUUGCACAGUGACAUCGUGCGUUGCAAUUGAUGGAACUUUUUGAUCAAGAUAUGUUCAAAUCCUGGUCCAUAUGUGCUAACUUGACGAUAAUUAAACUUUUGGCAGCUCAACCAGCGGCAUUUGGGGUUGCCAAUUCCGGUAUUGCGGCAAGCCGAGAGCUCGGUAUAAUUCAAGUACGAAAAUUAGUUGAUUGACCGACAAUUCAGCCCAACUACGUACGCACACAAGUGACUAAGGCGAGACUGAGAUUGUGCGAUUGCUUAUCAAAAUUUCAAAUGGCAUUUGGUUGUGUCAAGUGCCUUAGUACAUCAAAUAACUUAGGGCAAAUGCAUGCAUUUCACACACACACACACACUGUAAUUCCGAAUAUCACAAUACUAGGAAUCGUUGGGGUGCAGGCUGGGCUUUGAUUCGAAGAAAUGCUCUGUGUAUUUUGCUGUGUGUAUGUAUUUGCUUGUAUUUUGCUUGUAUAUAUAAGUAUAUAUGUAUGCAUGUGCGGUAAAUUUUAUCGAUUGGUUUCGAUUGCCUUUUAUAUGCACUUUAAAGGCUUCUUCCGCUGCUUUUAUUUUAUCAAAUGUAUUUUUGUGUGUGACUAUUUUGCCUUAUAAAAUGCGGUCGCCUUUUUCCUUGUUGGGAAUUUUAUGCGCGUUGUAACAACAAUAAAAAUCACUAAAUAUGACUCUUUAAAGGGUGCACAGUGUUAUAAAGAAAAUAAAAUAAAAAUUAAAUGAUAGGGAGUUAUUUAAAAUUUUAAAAUUUAAAAGUAAAACGGGAUACCUUGCAAUUUUCUGAGCCU